UACAGAGGGGGCGAGCGUUAUUCGGAAUUAUUGGGCGUAAAGCGCUUGUAGGCGGCCUGUCAAGUCGCGUGUGAAAUCCCCUGGCUUAACCAGGGAAGUGCGCGCGAAACUGGGGGCGCUUGAGUGCCGGAGAGGGUCGCGGAAUUCCCGGUGUAGAGGUGAAAUUCGUAGAUAUCGGGAGGAACACCGGUGGCGAAGGCGGCGAUCUGGGUCGAUACUGACGCUGAGGUGCGAAAGCGUGGGGAGCAAACAGG
rnacentral:rRNA from 1 species